UACGGAGGAUCCAAGCGUUAUCCGGAAUCAUUGGGUUUAAAGGGUCCGUAGGCGGUUUAAUAAGUCAGUGGUGAAAGCCCAUCGCUCAACGGUGGAACGGCCAUUGAUACUGUUAGACUUGAAUUAUUAGGAAGUAACUAGAAUAUGUAGUGUAGCGGUGAAAUGCUUAGAGAUUACAUGGAAUACCAAUUGCGAAGGCAGGUUACUACUAAUUGAUUGACGCUGAUGGACGAAAGCGUGGGUAGCGAACAGG
rnacentral:rRNA from 1 species